rnacentral:lncRNA from 13 species
AUGGCAAGGUACUUAUCACAGCGCCCAGAACAAUGCCUGGAGUGGAUUAAGCGUUCAAAAUGUCAAUUGCGGUUCUUAUCAGGACGAAGAGAAAAAAGCAAAGUUGAAGGCGAUUGCUUUGGUCUGUUGCUCGGUGGUGAAAUGAAGAUGAAUGUGGCAUUGAGAAGACAGGCAAAGAAAGCACCAAUGUGGUCAGGACCAAGACAGUCAGGAAAUCUGGGGCUUGACACCUCAUUUCUUUUUGUGGCUGAAUAGUGGCCCUGUUGUAUGGAUGCACCACAGUUUAUUCUACCUAUUGAAAGACAUCUUGGUUGCUUCCAGCUUUGGGGUAGACAUAAGUUUGCAACACAAUUGAGGAAAUACCAAGGAACACAACAUCUAGAUCAUCUGGUAAAAGUAUGUUUAGUGGUGCGAGAAACUGCCAACUGGUCUUCCAAGCCUCCUUGCAGCAGUGGUGGCUGAGUGGUCCAGUUCUAUUGAGGAAACCCAAAUGGAAACCUCUGUGUGUAGGGAAAUGCUUCUGGGGAAAGGCUGGCUUUCCUGAUUGAAGGGGUCUUCCGGCUGUGAAACAUCUCGCCGCUGUGAGAGAAGGCCAAGACAGCUGCAGCAUGGGAGCCCUGACAUCUGUGAACAACUGAACCAACCCCAGCAAGAGCUAAUAUCUGGAAUUCUUGGAAGGUGAAGAAUUUUCUAGACACCAAAGAAAGCCCUGGUAUAUAUAUAUAUAUUUUAUUGUUUUGAGAUGGAGUCUUGCUCUGUCACCCAUGCUGGAGUACAGUGUCACAAUCUCAGCUCACUGCAACUGCCACCUCCUGGGUUCAAGUGAUUCUUCUGCCUCAGCCUCCCAAGUAUCUGGAAUUACAGGUGUCCACUACCACGCCUGGUUAAUUUUUGUAUUUUUAGUGGAGUGAGGGGUUUCACCAUGUUGGCCAGGCUGGUCUCAAACUCCUGACCUCAAGUGAUCCACCUGCCUUGGCCUCUCGAAGUGCUGGGAUUACAAAUGUGAGCCACUGUGCCCAGCCUCUGACAUCUUUGAGCAGCUGAACCACACCAGCUGUGGUCAACCUCCAGACUCUGUGUAAUUGGAGGAAAUUUAACCUCUGUUUAUGUUCCUAUUAUUGUUUUGUUAUUUUGCAGUUUAACAGAUUAGACCCAAUGGGAUUAUUUUGAGAGUUGGAGCCAUCUGGGAAGCAUGGCUCAACUGGUUUGGGUGGGUGAAGACACAGGGGUUUCCCAACAACCUGAGUCAAGCUCUGUGGAUAUAGCUGGGAGAUUGUGUCAAAGAGGCUGAGGGUUAAUUCCCUGCUUCCACCCUUGGGGAAGAAUGACAUCCAGUCAGGCAUGGGGAACAUUCAUCCUUGGGAAGAAGAAUGACAUCCUUCUUAACUCUGAUUAGGCAGGUUCAACAAACAAGCUUUCUCUAAAAUAAAAUGAUGUUGAUGAUGAUGGUGGUGGUGAUG